UAGCAACAAAGCAAUCCCUACUUUCAAUACUUGGGAAUAGGAGAAGCUCAGGUUUAUGUCUACCCAACACUAAUAGAAAGAUAAGAAAUGCACCAGAGAUGGUGAAGGAGACCACUAGAAGCUGGCAGGGGAGCCGGAAAAGCGCCAUAUAAAAGAGCCAUGGCUCUCGAUUCUGAGGCAAAGGUGACGGUGGAGCACUCUUCAGGCAUGAGGGCCGGUCAUUCCCAAAGCAUGAGAGCAGAAAAUGCCAGUUUGUCCUGAUCACUCUGGAAAAGGGAACAGUGUCUGGUGACCCUAGGUGGCUGAGGCUCCGUGAGUUAGUCUUAGCCACCCAUUAGCCUCAGGAGGCAAAUCACCAGGAAGCUGAGCACAAAUUUGGAAGAAAUCACCAGUGGGAACCAGCCACUCAUCGCCAGGGCAGAGGCUGUGAUUAGGUCAGAGGAGGAGAACAGAAGCAGGGGAGAUACAAAGAGAACAAGCAACUUUAUCUCAGGUUAAAAAAAAAUGAAGCUUUAAGAAGUGAAUGGACUUAUCUGGGGAAGAAGACUUCCUAAAUGUGGAUCCAGAAUCCAAGAUGAGGCUCUCUGUCCUGCACCACACUGCCUCGAGGAGGAGAGAGGGGCUUCUUGGUGUCCUGGAAAGAUCCCAGAGCUGUGAUCAGCCGCAUUCGAUUCCAGGCUCUGCCUCCAUUGUUGUGUGACCUCGAUGUCACCAGUAAAAUAAAAAGCAUGAUGGCAAGAUGAUCUC
ensembl:lncRNA